UACGAAGGGGGCUAGCGUUGUUCGGAAUUACUGGGCGUAAAGGGCGCGUAGGCGGUGUGUCAAGUCAGGCGUGAAAGCCCCGGGCUCAACCUGGGAACCGCGCUUGAGACUGGCACGCUAGAGUUCGGGAGAGGAUGGUGGAAUUCCCAGUGUAGGAGGUGAAAUUCGUAGAUAUUGGGAAGAACACCGAUGGCGAAGGCAGCCAUCUGGACCGACACUGACGCUGAGGCGCGAAAGCGUGGGGAGCAAACAGG
rnacentral:rRNA from 1 species